CAGCACCUCAAGUGGUCAGGAUGAUUAUUGGGCCUAAAGCAUCCGUAGCCGGCUCUGUAAGUUUUCGGUUAAAUCUGUACACUCAACGUACAGGCUGCCGGGAAUACUGCAGAGCUAGGGAGUGGGAGAGGUAGACGGUACUCGGUAGGAAGGGGUAAAAUCCUUUGAUCUAUUGAUGACCACCUGUGGCGAAGGCGGUCUACCAGAACACGUCCGACGGUGAGGGAUGAAAGCUGGGGGAGCAAACCGGAUUAGAUACCCGAGUAGUCC
rnacentral:rRNA from 1 species